GCCAGUGGGGCAGCUACACAUGCAAGUCGAGCGGUAACAGGAAGAAGCUUGCUUCUUUGCUGACGAGCGGCGGACGGGUGAGUAAUACUUGGGAACUUGCCUUUAGGAGGGGGAUAACCGCUGGAAACGGUGGCUAAUACCGCAUAAUGUCUACGGACCAAAGCAGGGGCUCUUCGGACCUUGCACCUAAAGAUAGGCCCAAGCGAGAUUAGCUAGUUGGUGGGGUAAAGGCCCACCAAGGCGACGAUCUCUAGCUGUUCUGAGAGGAUGAUCAGCCACACUGGGACUGAGACACGGCCCAGACUCCUACGGGAGGCAGCAGUGGGGAAUAUUGCACAAUGGGGGAAACCCUGAUGCAGCCAUGCCGCGUGUGUGAAGAAGGCCUUCGGGUUGUAAAGCACUUUCAGUGGUGAGGAAGGCCGUAAGAUUAAUACUCUUGCGGAUUGACGUUAACCACAGAAGAAGCACCGGCUAACUCCGUGCCAGCAGCCGCGGUAAU
rnacentral:rRNA from 1 species